rnacentral:rRNA from 1 species
GAAUAUUGCACAAUGGGCGCAAGCCUGAUGCAGCGACGCCGCGUGGGGGCUGACGGCCUUUGGGGUGUAAACUCCUUUCGACAGGGACGAAACGUUAAAGUGACGGUACCUGUAGAAGAAGCACCGUCUAACCACCUGCCAGCAGCCGCGGUAACACGUAGGGUGCGAGCGUUGUCCGGAAUUACUGGGCGUAAAGAGCUCGUAGGUGGUUUGUUGCGUCGUCUGUGAAAUCCCGGGGCUUAACCUCGGGCGUGCAGGCGAUACGGGCAUAACUUGAGUGCUGUAGGGGAGACUGGAAUUCCUGGUGUAGCGGUGAAAUGCGCAGAUAUCAGGAGGAACACCAAUGGCGAAGGCAGGUCUCUGGGCAGUAACUGACGCUAGGGAGCGAAAGCAUGGGUAGCGAAC